rnacentral:rRNA from 1 species
ACUCAAAGGAAUAGACGGGGGCCCGCACAAGCAGCGGAGCAUGUGGUUUAAUUCGAAGCAACGCGAAGAACCUUACCAGGACUUGACAUCGUCUGAAUCAUCCGUAAUGGGAAAAGUCCUUCGGGACAGACAGACAGGUGGUGCAUGGUUGUCGUCAGCUCGUGUCGUGAGAUGUUGGGUUAAGUCCCGCAACGAGCGCAACCCUUAUUGCUAGUUGCCAUCAUUAAGUUGGGCACUCUAGUGAGACUGCCGGAGACAAUUCGGAGGAAGGUGGGGAUGACGUCAAAUCAUCAUGCCCCUUAUGUUCUGGGCUACACACGUGCUACAAUGGGUGUAACAACGGGAAGCGAGCUGGUGACAGCAAGCCAACCUCUAAAAAGCACCCUCAGUUCGGAUUGCAGGCUGAAACCCGCCUGCAUGAAGUUGGAGUUGCUAGUAAUCGCGAAUCAGCAUGUCGCGGUGAAUACGUUCCCGGGCCUUGUACACACCGCCCGU